rnacentral:tRNA from 1 species
AGAGACUUAGGAUAACAUAGACCAAAGGCCUUCAAAGCCUAAAGCAGAAGAUAAAACCUUCUAGCCUCUG